UAAUAAGUGUUUUAUGGCACUUUAAAAUCCAUAUCCACCUUGUGUGCAAUGUCGGCCUGAUCACAUCCAGCAAUGGGGUGUGUGAAAGGUUUCAUUAUCCACAUCAAAUGGUUUAUCUUUUAGUCUACAUUCUUUGAGUAUAAAAACAACUCAAAUA
rnacentral:misc_RNA from 1 species